rnacentral:lncRNA from 1 species
AUGGAGUGUCUGCAAAAACCUUGGCAUGGAUUGUAUUUUCUGUUCAUCCUCGAUGUUGGAAAAUCACAUUUUCUUGCAAUUAUUCAAAAUCAGUCUCAAACUUUUUGUCCCACUACAGCUAUGGCUAAUAAGGAUUGUGAUCAAGAUUUCUGUGAGGAGCUGAAGAAGUUCUUUGACAGCCGUGGCGGGAGCGUAAAAGUGCGGGAGCUCAAGGAGUGGUUGGCCGAAAAUUGCAAAGGCCGUAAGAACGAAGGUGGAAUCAGAGGGCUCUUUCCGUGCAUGGAGCAAAAAGCCGAUGAAGAUAUCACGCUUGAGGAGUUUAAGAAAUGCUGGGUCGAGAAGAAAAACAAGGGAUGUUCCUAAACAGAAUGUUUACUACAAAACCCUCAAGAUUGAAAAAUAUGUAAUAAAAUAAAAUAAUCACAAUAAUAGAGUAUACACUGACAGCAGAAGCCACAUUGGUUUUGAAAAAUGUGUCCAUUCAAUAUUGGCUUAGAAAAAAUAAAAACCAU